ACUCAAAUGAAUAGACGGGGGCCCGCACAAGCGGUGGAGCAUGUGGUUUAAUUCGACGCAACGCGAAGAACCUUACCAACCCUUGACAUGGUCUGGACGGCAUUCAGAAAUGGAUGCUUCCCAGCAAUGGGCCGGACCACAGGUGCUGCAUGGCUGUCGUCAGCUCGUGUCGUGAGAUGUUGGGUUAAGUCCCGCAACGAGCGCAACCCUCGCCAUUAGUUGCCAUCCUUCAGUUGGGCACUCUAGUGGGACUGCCGGUGAUAAGCCGGAGGAAGGUGGGGAUGACGUCAAGUCCGCAUGGCCCUUAUGGGUUGGGCCACACACGUGCUACAAUGGCGGUGACAAUGGGCAGCCACCCAGCAAUGGGGAGCUAAUCCCAAAAAGCCGUCUCAGUUCGGAUCGAGCUCUGCAACUCGAGCUCGUGAAGUCGGAAUCGCUAGUAAUCGCAGAUCAGCACGCUGCGGUGAAUACGUUCCCGGGCCUUGUACACACCGCCCGU
rnacentral:rRNA from 1 species